rnacentral:lncRNA from 1 species
UUCCCUCCAAUCCCUCGAAACCCUGACCCUAGAGCCCUCUCCUUCAUCUUCUUCCUCCUCUUCUGCCCCUCUUCCGCCUCGCCCACGCUGCCCCCUUCCGCGGCGUCGCCCGCCUCUUUCUCAGUCUCCCUCCCUUACUUUCUCUGUCACUCUCCCCCUAAGUGAUCCCUUGGCCUCCAUUGGACAGAUAGAUGGUGAACCGGUAAAGCUCGCAAGAGGGAAAGAUUGAUUGAUCUGCUGCC